rnacentral:rRNA from 1 species
AUUGAACGCUGGCGGCAUGCUUUACACAUGCAAGUCGAACGGCAGCGCGGGCUUCGGCCUGGCGGCGAGUGGCGAACGGGCGAGUAAUGCAUCGGAACGUGCCCAGUAGUGGGGGAUAGCCCGGCGAAAGCCGGAUUAAUACCGCAUACGACCUGAGGGUGAAAGCGGGGGACCGAAAGACCUCGCGCUAUUGGAGCGGCCGAUGUCGGAUUAGCUAGUUGGUGGGGUAAAGGCUUACCAAGGCGACGAUCCGUAGCUGGUCUGAGAGGACGACCAGCCACACUGGGACUGAGACACGGCCCAGACUCCUACGGGAGGCAGCAGUGGGGAAUUUUGGACAAUGGGGGCAACCCUGAUCCAGCCAUGCCGCGUGCGGGAAGAAGGCCUUCGGGUUGUAAACCGCUUUUGUUCGGGAAGAAAUCCUCUGGGCUAAUACCCCGGGGGGAUGACGGUACCGGAAGAAUAAGCACCGGCUAACUACGUG